GUCGGUAUCGAUUAGGGGUUAAAUCACUUCGUUGUGGCACCGUUGUGUUCCGAAGAGCCGCUGGUUCGAUUCCAGCUACCGACA